rnacentral:rRNA from 1 species
CUCCUACGGGAGGCAGCAGUGAGGAAUAUUGGUCAAUGGGCGAGAGCCUGAACCAGCCAUCCCGCGUGCAGGAUGACGGCCCUACGGGUUGUAAACUGCUUUUCUGCACCAAGAAUAGGCGCUACGUGUAGCGUUAUGACGGUAGUGCAGGAAUAAGCAUUGGCUAACUCCGUGCCAGCAGCCGCGGUAAUACGGAGGAUGCGAGCGUUAUCCGGAUUCAUUGGGUUUAAAGGGUGCGUAGGCGGUCCCGUAAGUCAGUGGUGAAAUGCUGCAGCUCAACUGUAGAACUGCCAUUGAAACUGUGGGACUUGAGUGCGCCUGAGGUAGGCGGAAUGAGUAGUGUAGCGGUGAAAUGCUUAGAUAUUACUCAGAACACCGAUUGCGAAGGCAGCUUACUAAAGCGUAACUGACGCUGAUGCACGAAAGCGUGGGGAGCGAACAGGAUUAGAUACCCUGGUAGUCCACGCCGUAAACGAUGAUAACUCGCUGUUGGCGAUACACAGUCAGCGGCCAAGCGAAAGCAUUAAGUUAUCCACCUGGGGAGUACGAUCGCAAGGUUGAAACUCAAAGGAAUUGACGGGGGCCCGCACAAGCGGAGGAACAUGUGGUUUAAUUCGAUGAUACGCGAGGAACCUUACCUGGGCUUAAAUGUGGAUUGACCGUAGCCGAAAGGUUACUUCCCUUCGGGGCAAUUUACAAGGUGCUGCAUGGUUGUCGUCAGCUCGUGCCGUGAGGUGUCGGGUUAAGUCCCAUAACGAGCGCAACCCUUAUCGUCAGUUGCUAACAGGUUAAGCUGAGGACUCUGGCGAGACUGCCACCGUAAGGUGCGAGGAAGGUGGGGAUGACGUCAAAUCAGCACGGCCCUUAUGUCCAGGGCUACACACGUGUUACAAUGGUCGGUACAGAGGGCAGCUACUUGGCAACAAGAUGCUAAUCCCAAAAGCCGGUCUCAGUUCGGAUUGGAGUCUGCAACCCGACUCCAUGAAGCUGGAUUCGCUAGUAAUCGUAGAUCAGCAAUGCUACGGUGAAUACGUUCCCGGGCCUUGCACACACCGCCCGU